GGGAAUGUGGGAAAACAAGCAAGGAGACCCAGUGCAGGUUAAGGAAAUGGAUCUGGCAGAGAUUUCUCAGAGUACCCUGAAAGUUGGAGCUGGAAGCACAGAGCCCAAGGCUAAUGACAUCCUGGAUGGUUGUCCGUGAUAGUCCUUCAGAUGGCACAUACAUAUCCAGUUAUACAUUGUGUGUGAUAGCCUAACUGCAUGUGUUUGGACUGCAGAUUGUAUUCAAGCAAAGUGGGGGCGGAGAGAUUCCACAAAGCAGGAUAUCUUCAUUAGCCAGAUAACUUAAGCCAAAAGUGAAUGUCCCAUAGGAAUGUCACUUACCUCUCUUCCUUUUGGACUGUUUUCACAUUUCUCUUAAAUUAUCCAGCUAACUGGAUAAAUCCUGCUUUGUGGAAUACCCCCCUGUGGUGGGAUUCAAAUCCAAGAUACUGGAGGUGUGAGGCAACAGCAUAGCAUGCUGAGUCACCAUUCCAUCCUAGAUCCUAGCUGUCUUGUGAUAAUUAUUGUAAUUAUGGAAUUGCCUGAAUGGAUGCAGUGGUGCAUGUAAAAGCCAUGCUUUAGGUUAUGUUUAUGGAUCCUAACCAUUCCAGCAUGCAGUACAUCUGAAAGGCUUGAUAUCUCCCCCCCCCCCUUACAUCCUGGCCUUGCAGGUCGUGCUUCCGCACCCACGCCGAGGGACCACUUAGCUAAAAGCAGGACUCGUUCUUACAUCAGCGCUUUUAGAAAAGGACAAGGAGAGCUCCCCCUCGCCAGGAGUCAUCAGUCAGCAUGGCUAAUCGUCCACAAAUCUCGUGCCCACGUUUCUAUCGCUCUCCUUCUGUCUGCUUGCUUCCUACGUCACCGUGACGGUCCACCACCCAUCGACGAUGCCUUCUUGUCCCUGUGUGUUCGACAGGGCGAUGAAUGAUGUUGUGCUGCGCAACUAGGAUGUGGAGGGAGCUUGUCGGUGGGGGGAUGUAAGAAUAGUAUAUCAUUUAUUGCUUGUAUACUAGUAUAUCAUUUAUUAAUUUCCCUAUCAGUCAUCCAGCUAUCUUCUGAGUGUCACAUCUCUCAUGAUUUUUCACAUCAACAUUUGGACAGAUCAGUGAAGGGAGGGUGGUUUAUGAAAAAAAGUAAAGCAUUAAAUUUAGUUCAUUUUUUCACUUUCUGUUUCAUGUAGCUUGACUACAUCUCUACUAAUGAUUUGCUAUGGAAAAUAGAGAAUCUACACCUUUAUAUUGGAUAAAUGGGAAGAGUGUAACACUGGUGUUGGAACAGACCCCGCAUCACCCCAGAUAAUUAUUAGCCAAGUAGCUGUCUAUGUCCCUGUGCUGAGAGAUGAAUAUAGUCAACCCUCAUGAAUUGGCGCUUCAUUCUAUUUUUUUUAUUAAAUAUUGUUUUUUUGUUAAAUAUUUUUAACGUGUCUAUGUAUUUUAGUUCUCUCUCUCUUUUUCGUGGUAGCGCACACAGUAUUUUUACAACUUAUUAUUUCUGUACGUCUUUACGUAAUUUUUAAUUGAUUGAAUACCUGCACCUUGUACGUACAGUUUAUGUUUCCUUUACGUAUUUUAUUGAAUUGUGCCUUGGUUACAUAUAUGACUUCUGUCAAUAAGUUAACAGUCCCGUUUGUUUACUCAUUUUACCUUACUGUGAAUGCAAAAGCAAUGAAUGUCGUGUUCUAUGAAUUUGUAGGGGUAAUAUUAGUAUACUGUACUGUAAAUGCGCUAGUAUGACAAAUACCCGAUACUGUACUCUAUUUUUACAUCAAACAUUUGUAUAAAGUUUUUUUUAAAGGUAAUGUAUUAAGCUAACUUUUAAAUAAAAUUAAAGUGUUUUGGGA